GACGUAGGGCGCGAGCGUUGUCCGGAAUUAUUGGGCGUAAAGAGCUCGUAGGCGGCUUGUUGCGUCGACUGUGAAAACCCGCGGCUCAACCGUGUGGCUUGCAGUCGAUACGGGCAGGCUAGAGUUCGGUAGGGGAGACUGGAAUUCCUGGUGUAGCGGUGAAAUGCGCAGAUAUCAGGAGGAACACCGGUGGCGAAGGCGGUUCUCUGGGCCUUACCUGACACUGAGGAGCGAAAGCGUGGGGAGCGAACAGG
rnacentral:rRNA from 1 species